rnacentral:rRNA from 1 species
UACGUAGGGAGCAAGCGUUGUUCGGAUUUACUGGGCGUAAAGGGCGCGUAGGCGGCAUAUUAAGUCAUCUGUGAAAUCUCCGAGCUUAACUCGGAACUGUCGGCUGAUACUGAUGUGCUAGAGUGCGGAAGGGGCAAUCGGAAUUCUUGGUGUAGCGGUGAAAUGCGUAGAUAUCAAGAGGAACACCUGAGGUGAAGACGGGUUGCUGGGCCGACACUGACGCUGAGUGCGCGAAAGCCAGGGGAGCAAACGGG